rnacentral:rRNA from 1 species
GAUGAACGCUGGCGGCGUGCCUAACACAUGCAAGUCGAACGGAGAUUACGGACGGAAGUUUUCGGAUGGAAGACUGUAAUUCUUAGUGGCGGACGGGUGAGUAACGCGUGGGCAACCUGCCCUAUACAGGGGGAUAGCAGCUGGAAACGGCUGGUAAGACCGCAUAAGUCGGCGAGACCGCAUGGUUUUGCCGGGAAAUGAGCAAUCAGGUAUAGGAUGGGCCCGCGUCCGAUUAGCCAGUUGGCAGGGUAAAAGCCUACCAAAGCAACGAUCAGUAGCCGACCUGAGAGGGUGAUCGGCCACAUUGGAACUGAGACACGGUCCAAACUCCUACGGGAGGCAGCAGUGGGGAAUAUUGCACAAUGGGCGAAAGCCUGAUGCAGCAACGCCGCGUGAACGAUGAAGGUCUUCGGAUCGUAAAGUUCUGUUGCAGGGGAAGAUGAUGACGGUACCCUGUGAGGAAGCCCCGGCUAACUACGUGCCAGCAGCCGCGGUAAUACGUAGGGGGCUAGCGUUAUCCGGAUUUACUGGGCGUAAAGGGUGCGUAGGUGGUCCUUCAAGUCGGUGGUUAAAGGCUACGGCUCAACCGUAGUAAGCCGCCGAAACUGGAGGACUUGAGUGCAGGAGAGGAAAGUGGAAUUCCCAGUGUAGCGGUGAAAUGCGUAGAUAUUGGGAGGAACACCAGUAGCGAAGGCGGCUUUCUGGACUGCAACUGACACUGAGGCACGAAAGCGUGGGUAGCAAACAGG